rnacentral:rRNA from 1 species
UGGGGAAUAUUGGACAAUGGGCGAAAGCCUGAUCCAGCCAUGCUGCGUGUGUGAAGAAGGUCUUCGGAUUGUAAAGCACUUUAAGUUGGGAGGAAGGGCAGUAAGCGAAUACCUUGCUGUUUUGACGUUACCGACAGAAUAAGCACCGGCUAACUGUGUGCCAGCAGCCGCGGUAAUAUAGAGGGUGCAAGCGUUAAUCGGAAUUACUGGGCGUAAAGCGCGCGUAGGUGGUUCGUUAAGUUGAAUGUGAAAGCACCGGGCUCAACCUGGGAACUGCAUCCAAAACUGGCGAGCUAGAGUAGGGCAGAGGGUGGUGGAAUUUCCUGUGUAGCGGUGAAAUGCGUAGAUAUAGGAAGGAACACCAGUGGCGAAGGCGACCACCUGGGGUCAUACUGACACUGAGGUGCGAAAGCGUGGGGGGCAAAAAAG